ACGGUCUUGCUGUCACUUAUAGAUGGAUCCGCGCUGCAUUAGCUAGUUGGUAAGGUAACGGCUUACCAAGGCAACGAUGCAUAGCCGACCUGAGAGGGUGAUCGGCCACACUGGAACUGAGACACGGUCCAGACUCCUACGGGAGGCAGCAGUAGGGAAUCUUCCGCAAUGGGCGAAAGCCUGACGGAGCAACGCCGCGUGAGUGAUGAAGGUCUUCGGAUCGUAAAACUCUGUUAUUAGGGAAGAACAUAUGUGUAAGUAACUGUGCACAUCUUGACGGUACCUAAUCAGAAAGCCACGGCUAACUACGUGCCAGCAGCCGCGGUAAUACGUAGGUGGCAAGCGUUAUCCGGAAUUAUUGGGCGUAAAGCGCGCGUAGGCGGUUUUUUAAGUCUGAUGUGAAAGCCCACGGCUCAACCGUGGAGGGUCAUUGGAAACUGGAAAACUUGAGUGCAGAAGAGGAAAGUGGAAUUCCAUGUGUAGCGGUGAAAUGCGCAGAGAUAUGGAGGAACACCAGUGGCGAAGGCGACUUUCUGGUCUGUAACUGACGCUGAUGUGCGAAAGCGUGGGGAUCAAACAGGAUUAGAUACCCUGGUAGUCCACGCCGUAAACGAUGAGUGCUAAGUGUUAGGGGGUUUCCGCCCCUUAGUGCUGCAGCUAAC
rnacentral:rRNA from 1 species